UACGGGGGGGGCAAGCGUUUGUUCGGAAUUACUGGGCGUAAAGGGCGCGUAGGCGGCCUUCUAAGUCGGACGUGAAAUCCCUCGGCUUAACCGAGGAACUGCGUCCGAUACUGAAAGGCUUGAAUCCGGGAGAGGGACGUGGAAUUCCAGGUGUAGCGGUGAAAUGCGUAGAUAUCUGGAGGAACACCGGGUGGCGAAGG
rnacentral:rRNA from 1 species